GACGAACGCUGGCGGCGUGCUUAACACAUGCAAGUCGAACGGAAAGGCCCUGCUUUUGUGGGGUGCUCGAGUGGCGAACGGGUGAGUAACACGUGAGUAACCUGCCCUUGACUUUGGGAUAACUUCAGGAAACUGGGGCUAAUACAGGAUAGGAGCUCCUGCUGCGUGGAGGGGGUUGGAAAGUUUCGGCGGUUGGGGAUGGACUAGCGGCUUAUCAGCUUGUUGGUGGGGUGGGGGCUUACCAAGGCUUUGACGGGUAGCCGGCCUGAGAGGGUGACCGGCCACAUUGGGCCUGAGAUACGGCCCAGACUCCUACGGGAGGCAGCAGUGGGGAAUAUUGCACAAUGGGCGGAAGCCUGAUGCAGCAACGCCGCGUGCGGGAUGACGGCCUUCGGGUUGUAAACCGCUUUCGCCCGUGACGAAGCGUGAGUGACGGUAAUGGGUAAAGAAGCACCGGCUAACUACGUG
rnacentral:rRNA from 1 species